UACGUAGGGUGCAAGCGUUGUCCGGAAUUAUUGGGCGUAAAGGGCUCGUAGGCGGUUUGUCGCGUCGGGAGUGAAAACUCAGGGCUUAACCCUGAGCCUGCUUCCGAUACGGGCAGACUGGAGGUAUGCAGGGGAGAACGGAAUUCCUGGUGUAGCGGUGAAAUGCGCAGAUAUCAGGAGGAACACCGGUGGCGAAGGCGGGUCUCUGGGCAACAACUGACGCUGAGGAGCGAAAGCGUGGGGAGCGAACAGG
rnacentral:rRNA from 1 species